rnacentral:snRNA from 1 species
GUGCUCGCUUCGGCAGCACAUGUACUAAAAUUGGAACAAUACACAGAAGAUUUGCAUGGCCCCUGUGCAAGGAUGACAAAGAAAUUCGUGAAGUGUUCCAUAUUUUU